AUGUCAGAAGAUGAGCCCCCAGGUCGGAAGGUGCCCAAAUAUGCUAUUGGUGAAGGAGGGAGGGCAAUUACCAUUAAUAAUAGCUCCACCGCCUCGCGCCCGCCCACGAGCGGCCCGCGCGCCCGGCAGCCGCAGCCNAAGGCACCAGGAAUGAACAGCCUGGAGCAGGGCAUGGUGGGCCUGAAGAUUGGGGACGUCACCACCUCUGCGGUCAAGACGGUAGGGUCAGUCGUCAGCAGUGUGGCCAUGACGGGCAUCCUUUCCGGCAAUGGUGGGACCAAUGUGCCCCUGCCGGUAUCAAAGCCGACCUCAUGGGCUGCCAUUGCCAGCAAACCUGCCAAACCACAACCGAAAAUGAAGGCCAAGAGUGGGCCUGCCAUCGGGGGGGCGCUGCCCCCGCCACCUAUUAAACAUAAUAUGGACAUUGGUACUUGGGACAACAAGGGGUCUGUGCCCAAAGCCCCGGCCCCCCAGCAGGUGCCAGCCUCCUCGGUGGCCCCCCAGCCCCAGCCGGCCAUGCAGCCUCUUCCCGCCCAACCUCCCCUUCCAGCCCCACCACAACACACGGCCCCCCAGCAGCUGCCCCAGACCCGCUGGGUUGCCCCUCGCAGCAGAAAUGCGGCGUUUGGGCAGACCGGGGGCCCCAGCAGUGACAGUAACUCCCCUGGGAGCGCCCAGCCCAGCACGACCCUGAGCGCAGAGUCCCACCCCGUCUUAGAAAAACUGAAAGCCGCUCACAGUUACAACCCCAAGGAGUUUGACUGGAACCUGAAGAGCGGGCGCGUGUUCAUCAUCAAGAGUUACUCGGAGGAUGACGUGCACCGCUCUAUCAAGUAUUCGCUCUGGUGUAGCACGGAGCAUGGCAACCGGCGCCUGGACAGUGCCUUCCGUGCCCUGGGCAGCAAGGGGCCUGUCUACCUGCUCUUCAGCGUCAAUGGCAGUGGCCAUUUCUGCGGGGUGGCUGAGAUGAAGUCGCCUGUGGACUACGGCACCAGCGCCGGGGUCUGGUCCCAGGACAAGUGGAAGGGCAAGUUCGACGUGAAGUGGAUCUUCGUGAAGGACGUGCCCAACAGUCAGCUGCGGCACAUCUGACUGGAAAACAACGACAACAAGCCGGUCACCAACUCGCGUGACACCCAAGAGGUACCCCUGGAGAAGGCGCGCCUGGUGCUGCGGCUCACCGCCUCCUACAGGCACAGCACUUCGACGACUUUUCCCACUCUGAGAGGCGCCAGGAGGGGGAGGAGGUGGUGCGCAAGCAACGGCAGAGUCGAAGCAAGCAGUGAGGGCGCAGCAGGCUCUCGUGCC